ACUUGUUGCAAAUGGGCACCAUAGCUAUUGCGGUGAGGAAGUCAAAGAUGACUUCACUUGAUGUCCCUUUUUUGAGCUCUAGGUUCAUAUUGAGAUUCACUAACUCGAGACAUAUGCUGCAAUUAAAAGGCGUUCUCCCAUAUUCUGUGGCUCAAUACAAUGCAGAGCUGGAGGACAGACGGGUGAUGCAUAUCUCUUGUAUUGAUAUGGAACAGGAAGGUGAUUUAGGCCACCAGCAGCUGCGUAAAAAUGCCCUAAAUCAGCAGAAUGAGAUUCAUCUUCCAGAUAUCCAUUCAUUAGGAAACAGUGCUCAUGUGGAUAAUAAUGAUUUGCAAAAGGAAUUCUUCUCUCUUAAGAUCAGGAACUGUACUCUGUUUAAAGCUGUCCCACUGCCUCAUAUUGGCAAAAAAAUGCCACCACACCUGAGCGAUGCCGCGAAUGGAGCUGCAUCUUCCAAGGAACCUCUCGGUCUGCUUUUUUCUCCAGAAAGAGAUCCUUUCGAGAAACUCUUUCAUCACUUUCAUAGCACCAUGGUGACGAGCUGGCUGGAAAGAGCCCACAACUUCAUUAGCGACAUGGGCACGUGGAGUCUCUCUGCAGAUAACUUUGUACGCUUUGCACAUUUCUGGCUGUCUGAGCUCCAGGACAAUCAAAAACAGCAACUGUUGGAUCUGGAAAUGGGGGUGAUUGAAGAUGAAGUCCGCCUUGCGUUCCUUGGGGGGUCAGACUCCAAGGAAUUCCAGCCUUCGGAUUUGAAUUGCAUUCUUGCUGCUGUGCUGAGUGAAUAUCCCAUCAGGCUUGUAAACAACCAGAACCCAUACGUUUUUCUUGACUACUUAAACCUCAUGUCUUCAGCGAAUUCACCUGGGUAUAAGAAAAUGCUUUCAAGUAUACAGUACACAACCAAGAACCCUCAGAUAGCUCAGUGGUUGCUAGCUAUACGAGCAUUUGCACUUGCAAAUCUCUGGCAUGCAAUAGUGAAGGUAAAAACACAGUAGCUGUGAAAUGGUAGUGUUGGUUGUUGUAAUGUUCCCUGUAAACUACUUUUAAGAUGCAUCAGGUACCAAGAGAGAAAAUACAGGCGGUAUUUAAAAGUAUUUUGGGCAACCAAUAUUAAAUAGCGUUGGGGAGUUACAAUUACAGUGAAAUGAGAUAAAUAGAUAUUUUACGACAUAUAUAUUGAUGGGAAGUGAUCUUAAUGUUUUCAAGUCUGUUAAGUUAAAAUGGAGGGCUGCAGGGCUGACUGAGAACAGCGUUUCUCGCCUCUGAGUUAAUGUAGCAGUCUUCCCCAACCUGGUGUCUUCUAGAUGAUGUGUUGGUCUACAAUUCCCCACAUCCCCCAGCAAGGAUGGGGAUGCUGGGACUUUUAGUCCAACACAUCUGGAGGGUACCAUGUUAGGGAAGGCUGCAUAAAUACCAAUAGAGAUGUGUUUGAAUUUUACACCCCUUUGACUUCCUUCACACGUGUCAUGGUGGCAAACCUAGAUUUUCCAUUGCGUGUACACAUGGCAAGAAAAGCACAUUUUAUGCUGUCUGCAUCCCUGCCAUGCCUGCAGAUGAAUACAGGUGUUUGCUGUGAACAUGCAUUGCCUUUUUGAAGCAUUUCGAGAGUGCAUCUUAAACAACAUGUAAAAUAUCCCCGACUUUUGGCUACUGUUAGGGCCAGCUUUGUUUAGGCUGAGAGAUGGCUCAGCUGUAACUCCAAAAUCAGCACCAUCUCACGGACCACAGUUUGUUUGUAGCCUCCAAGCCAAGUUCAGAAACCAUGGUUGGAAACUGGUUUGCAAACUACCGUUUGGGCAAAUUGAUCUGGUGUUGCAUCCAAACCCAAAACAACAUGGUACGCUCUUGGAGCCUACUGUUUAGGAAUCUCUGGAACCUAUUUCAGAGAUCGUGGUAGGAGAGGGCAACCCAUGUGUUGCCUGUAUGUCUGCAACACAAAUCCUAGAUUGACAUUACAACUUGCCCAGCCCUAUAAGAAGGCUACCUACUACAACAAUAGUUAUUAUAAUCAUAUUUCUGAUGCUGAAUGAAUUCAUGUCAUGCUUCUUCAAAAAGAGCUUGUUGCUCUAGAGCUGUGAAUGUUUUCUAGAAGCACAUCAUGUAUUUUCUUAGAAAACAUGUCCAGAGGUCAACGCAAAAGUCUCUUCACAGAUCUCAGUUAUAUUUCCCCAGUGCUAUUGUUACCUCUCUGCAGUUUUGGUACAGUUGCAGAUAACAUACAUAUAUCUGCCUCCUGUCCCUGACUACUACUGGAAUCAGAAAAAAAAAUGGUGACUACGUGUUAUCAGCAAUUGUCUUUGGGACAGUUCCAAUAGUGCAUUUCGUGUGUGUGUAUUUGAAAAUAUAUGUUGAAUCGGUCCAGGACUGUUCAGCCUUCCAUAUGCUUUGGACUACAAUUCCCACCACCAGCAUGCCCUUUGCCAUGUUGGUGAGGAUUAUGGGAGUUGUAAUCCAACACAUAGGGAGAGCACCAGUCUGGUCUACUCUGACUGCUAGUGAUUCUCCAGUGUCUUGGGCAAAUCUGUCUUAAGUGGGGAUACCAAGGACUGAACCUGCGCUAAGGUAUGUGCCAUGUCACUAAGCUAUGUGUUGGAUGCAACUUUGUCAUACUUAGAACAGACCCACUGGAAUCAUGGUGACUUGCACUACCCAUCGUGCCUAGGUCCCAUUGAUUCCAGUGGAUCGUCUGUCAGUAUGAUUUAUGUCAGGAUCCAACUAUAUGUUUAAAGGUGAGUAUAGUACUAGGUAACAUGUUUCGAUAGAUGCACGCCCAGCUUCCCAUUUGGGGUGAAAAUCGGCUGAGCAUUUGGAAUGCUUGGCGAACUGUGGGUCAAAACUCUUAUUUAUUCAUUCCCCCCCCCCAAUUUAGUCUGUUGCAGAAAGAAACAGCCAAGAGUCAUGUGGCACAUGACAGAUUUAUUGUGGCCUAAACUUUAGUGGGCAGCGUCCCCUUCAUCAAGGAAAUACUAUCUUUACUUUGCAGGCACGGGCUCCCUUUCCAUAAAUUUGAUAAAGUGGACUAUGGUCCUUGACAGCUUAUGCCACAAUAAAUCAGGUAUUCUUUAAAGCACCUGGACCUUUUUGUGGAGUGCAUUGAUUUUUUUACUGGAGUAUUGAAGGCUUGUUUCUCUUUGCAAUGUGUUUUUUUUUUUGGUACUUGCUUCUAAAACAUCAGUAUACACAUGUAACGAGAGCCGCCUACUGAUUCCUUGCUUGAGCCCCACUUAAAAAAAGUUUUUUGACUUGGCACUCGGAGCAGCGCCAGGCAGCCGAGUCUAGCUAUCAUUUUAAUUUUCAGCGAUGCUCCAGAAUGAUGCUAUGUCAGAGGCGUGGCGGAAAAUCCAGACAGUCUCUAAACCCAGAUGUUCAAUGCUGUUCUGAGCACUGUUGCCACCAUGUAAGCCUGGAGGAGGGGACUGGCGAAAGGGCACUUUGCCUACAGCCCCCUUGAACCAGGAGCCAGCCUCUUUAAUUAACCCUAUAAAGCCUUUCCUUAUGGCUUGGUGUUUUUAAAUGCAGAUACUGCCCCCAAAUCCUAGGUUCGUCUAGUGUUGCUUUUGUGGAUGCAAGGAAGUAGGGGGAAAGGGCAGUAAUACUCCUACACUAGGAUGCCCUGUGCCGGAUAUGCUAGGUGACAUAACUUGCUUUUUUAAAAGCUAAGCUUUGACGCCUAGCAUUCGCUUGCAGCUACAUAGCUCUCUCUAGUCAGAAAUGUACACAGAUGCAACAAACAUCUGCCAAGGUAGAUGUAGAGGCAGGGCUAGUGGUAUAGUCCAACUCCCGCUCGCUUACUUUUUAGCCCUUUCCGGGGCUGGCACGUGAGCAGGGCUAAUAAAACUCUUGAAAAAUUAAUGCACCCCCUCCCCCCAAAGCAGCACACUGAGUUGGUGUUUAGUGGUACAUUUUUGCUCUUUCAGGAUCAUUCUUUUGGUGUGUGUUUUUUAUCUUAGACUUUUUGAGUCAGUGCAGAUGUACAUUUUACCAUUCCCUAACCUUAAUGGAUUGGGAAUUGGACACAUAAUUGCAUUCUCUUCCUCCACACCUUCUGGAGUAUAAAUUCUUCCUCUUUCCCUGACGCCUUUAAUCAUACUUCAGUGUUAUGCCAGUGUUAUUAACCACGAUCAAUGCGAACCGGGGUUUGCUCCACACACACUGUAUCUGAAACCAUGGUUUGAUUUCUGUUUUCAAAUCCUGGGUUAGAACUGGAUCCUGGUUAGCUUUACCUUGGCUAACGUUUGCACAGGUGUAACAUUGUACAGUGAUUAACAGCUGGCAAUUUUAUAUAUACACUAGCUUCUAUACUUGAAUAUACACAUUAC